rnacentral:lncRNA from 1 species
GGUUAAGGGAGAUGUGGUAUUUGUGGAGCAAAAGCAGCGGUGAUGGAAAAGUGGAGGUGCUGGGUAGAAGACCUGUGGCUGGACGGGUCCCCUUGUUCUCUAGAGCAAGUAGUCAGGAUAGCUCAUCUCUAAGCUCCUUCCAGUUUCUCCUUCCUGAAGCUCAGGAUACGUCUCAGACUGCGGUCCAAGGUUGGGAGGGUUCUUCACCACUGUUCAGAAUGGCCAACAGGGGACCUUCGUAUGGCCUGAGCCGAGAGGUGCAGCAGAAGAUUGAGAAGCAGUACGACCCAGAUCUGGAGCAGAUCCUGAUCCAGUGGAUUACCACUCAGUGCCGGAAGGGUGUGAGCCAGCCCCAGCCAGGGCGG